CACGUAGGUGGCGCUACAAGUUGGAUGUGAAAGCUCCCGGCUUAACUGGGAGAGGUCAUUCAAAACUGUAGUGCUUGAGGCUGAAAGAGGAGAGUGGAAUUCCCGGUGUAGUGGUGGAAUGCGUAGAUAUCGGGAGGAACACCAGUGGCGAAAGCGGCUCUCUGGUUCACGCCUGACGCUGAGGUGCGAAAGCGUGGGUAGCGAACG
rnacentral:rRNA from 1 species